UUACUGGCUCAGGAUGAACGCUGGCGGCGUGCCUAAUACAUGCAAGUCGAGCGAGAACUUGAUGAUGGAAGAUUCGUCUGAAAGAUCAAGGGAAAGCGGCGGACGGGUGAGUAACGCGUAGGCAACCUGCCCUUAGCAGAGGGAUAGCCAUUGGAAACGAUGAUUAAAACCUCAUAACGCUUGAGAGACACAUGUCUUUCGAGCCAAAGAUUUAUCGGCUAAGGAUGGGCCUGCGUCUGAUUAACUGGUUGGUGAGGUAACGGCUCACCAAGGUGACGAUCAGUAGCCGACCUGAGAGGGUGAUCGGCCACAUUGGAACUGAGACACGGCCCAAACUUCUACGGAAGGCAGCAGUAAGGAAUCUUGCACAAUGGGGGAAACCCUGAUGCAGCAACGCCGCGUGAACGAAGAAGGCCUUCGGGUUGUAAAGUUCUGAUCUUGGGGAAGAAGGAAGUGACGGUACCCAAGGAGAAAGCCCCGGCUAACUACGUGCCAGCCGCUGC
rnacentral:rRNA from 1 species